CCAAAAACAAGCCCUAAUUUCUCUUUUUCACGCUGCCUCCCUCCACUUUUACUCUGUCUCUCUCCACACCCGCAGCCACGCUCCAGUCACUCUGAAGACUUCCAUCAUCAGCGAACGGUGACCCUGACAACAAACCGGCGGCCGUCGCUCCGAUCAGCCCAGGCAGCACACUUCAUCUCCGCUCCCUUCCUCGCCGGCCCGAACUCGCCAGCACCACCACCACACUCUGUGAUUUCUGGUGGGAGAAACAUCAGACUGAGGAGGAAGCUGCUCUAGGUAAAGGGAAGCGCCGAAGGGAAGCUGUUUCUUACAGGGAAGCAUAUGCUCCACAACUUGGUGAAACAUUGUAUGAGUUUUCUCGUCAUUUAGGCAGCAGUCUAAGGAUCCUACUCUUUUCGGAGAAGGCACAGGAAGUCCUCAUUUAGGCUUGAAUUGAGGCCGUGAAAGCUUACUUGCAAGCCGAAACGCAUAUAAAUUCUAGCAACCACUGUAAGUAAGGAGAUGGAGUUGCUUUUUGGCAAUUAACCAAGAUGGAGUUGAAGACUUUUUGGUAGUUAAAUGAAACACUUGUUUUGAGUUCUUUUUGGAUAUGGAUGUUUUGUAGUUUCGGUAAUGUUAUUAAGUUUGAAGUGGUUAUUGUUGGAGGAUGAAUGUUUUAAAAGGUUUUGAAGUUGGAUAAUGAAUGUUGACUUAUUGGAUAUUUGAUUUGAAUGAUAUUUUGCUUCUUCGCAA